GGGAGGGCACUGGGAGGUGUUGGGGUGCACUGGGAGGGUGCUGGGGGUUAAUGGAGGAUGAACUGGGAACUGAGGUGAGGCACUGGGAGCUACUGGGAGGGCUCUGGAAACUGCUCCUUCCCGGGAUUUUGGGGCCCCUCCCGGGGCUGUGGGACCCUCCCAGGUUUGGGGGAUCCCCCUGACCCCACCGUGUCCCCCCCCAGGUUCGUGUCCUGCGCCCGGGAAGCGUCGGUGCCGUGUCGGUGCCUCGAGUUCACCGCGAGUCUGGAGCAGGCGCGACACAACUGCCGGUUCCGGGACAUGACACAGAGCGGCCACGUCCCCGUCACCGACGCCGUCCUGUUCAGCUACAGGAAACACUUUGUCUCCCCCUCCCUCGCCGAGGGCUUCUCCCAAAUCCUCAAGAUCCCCUUCGUGCCAGAUUUUGGGGACCCCCCGGACCCCCAACGCCGGCGCCUCUUCUUCCAGUUCAGUGAUGGAUGAGCCGACCCCCCAAUAAAGGCACUGCCCCAAAACCCCCCCAAAUCCC